rnacentral:rRNA from 1 species
ACAGAGGUGCCGAGCGUUAGGCGGAAUCACUGGGCUCAAAGCGUGUGUAGGCGGGUCGUUAAGUACCUUGUGAAAUCCCACGGCUUAACCGUGGAACUGCUCGGUAUACUGGCGAUCUUGAGCCACUUAGGGGUCAGCGGAACAAAUGGUGGAGCGGUGAAAUGCGUAGAUAUCAUUUGGAACGCCAAUGGUGAAAACAGCUGACUGGGAGUGUGCUGACGCUGAGACACGAAAGCCAGGGGAGCGAACGGGA